GAAUUUUGGACAAUGGGCGAAAGCCUGAUCCAGCAAUGCCGCGUGCAGGAUGAAGGCCUUCGGGUUGUAAACUGCUUUUGUACGGAACGAAAAGCUUUGGGUUAAUACCCUGGAGUACUGACGGUACCGUAAGAAUACGCACCGGCUAACUACGCACACGCCACCGCGGUAAUACGUAGGGUGCAAGCGUUAAGCGGAAUUACUGGGCGUAAAGCGUGCGCAGGCGGCUUUGUAAGACAGAGGUGAAAUCCCCGGGCUCAACCUGGGAACUGCCUUUGUGACUGCAAGGCUAGAGUACGGCAGAGGGGGGUGGAAUUCCGCGUGUAGCAGUGAAAUGCGUAGAUAUGCGGAGGAACACCGAUGGCGAAGGCAACCCCCUGGGCCUGUACUGACGCUCAUGCACGAAAGCGUGGGGAGCAAACAG
rnacentral:rRNA from 1 species